rnacentral:rRNA from 1 species
GUGCCAGCAGCCGCGGUAAUACAGAGGGUGCAAACGUUGCUCGGAAUUAUUGGGCGUAAAGCGCGUGUAGGCGGCUUGUUAAGUCGGUUGUGAAAACCCAUGGCUCAACCAUGGAAGUGCGUCCGAAACUGGCAAGCUAGAGUCUUGACGAGGAUGGCGGAAUUCCCAGUGUAGAGGUGAAAUUCGUAGAUAUUGGGAGGAACACCGGUGGCGAAGGCGGCCAUCUGGGAAGGUACUGACGCUGAGACGCGAAAGCGUGGGGAGCAAACAGGAUUAGAUACCCCGGUAGUCC